CGUUUCCCUCUCCCUAGCUCUUCAUUAAUGUCAAAAACUUAAUCUGGGUUAUCUUUGUUUUGUCUCAUUUUCCAAUUUCUUGAUCGUUUAUUAGAUUAACUAGUGAUGAGUAGUAUUGGAUAAUUUGGAUUCAGCUUUCAGUCAUUUUUUUUCGUGAUUUUAUGGUUGCACGAUAAAAAUUCUGUGAAUUCGGAAAGGGUGAUGAUGCCUUAUCAGAAAAUUAGCAAUUAUUAAAUUGCAAGAUCACUACAUUUGAAUUGGGAUUUAGCAAUUUUAUUGACUUUUAAUUAAAUUUCUAAAAGUGAGUUGUUUUAUAACUUGAAUUUGCACGCAUUACUCGGUGAUAGCUUAUUUUAAUGUUCCUGUUGUCAUUUUUUCACCAAUCGGGUGCUGGGUUCUUUUUAGGAGCUUCAAAUUGAUUUUUCGCAGUAUGAACAUCCUACUGUUUUGACUGUUGAAGCACAGGUAAUUUUUUUUUUCAGAAAUAAUAUUUUAUAUUAUGCUUGUCUACUGAUGCAAUAAUAUUUUGUUUUCGACCAGGAAAAAUAUGUCGGAGAUAAGGGAGGUGGCCUCUGUAAAAUUUUGUUCUUGAAGGACUAGAAAAGUCCGUAUUAUAUUGUUUCCGCUUUGGUGGAUACGAAAGUAGAUAUGAAAGUGUUGUCUCGGAGGCUUGGUUUGGGAGGAGGUACAAGAAUGGCACCUGAAGAAGCACUGGGUGAGAUACUUCAGGGAUAAACUAGACUCCUUGAGUUUGGCUAUUCUUAUCUGGUGUAAUGUUCCCACCGCGGAUACAUAUGAAGGCAAUCACAUCCAUGAUUGUGUUGCAAUGGUAAUAAUCUUAUUAGAUCAGGGUUAAAUAAAUGCCAGGUCUUGUUCUAUGAGCUAGUGAUGCAUGGCAAUCUAACAUUUCAACAUGUUUAUUUUGUCUGAUUAAAUCUGUUUUGUGUUUUUUAUUUUCAAGUUUCCUUUGGGCUGUGUUACUCCAUUUGCGCUUACAAAUGAAUCAGCACAGUGAGCAUUAAAUUUUAUCUCUUUUGGCAUUUAUUUUUAUCUUUUCUCCUCUCAAGUCUUUAUUUGAACAAAUUCGUGUUUGCAUUUUUGCUACCUUGCAAAAAUAAUGUUUUUGUGAAAUGUUUCAAAUCACAUUGACUCUGAUAUCUUAUUGUUACUUAUGAUGCAUAUCAUAUGUAAUUCUUCUCAUUGCAAUCAUCUAAAUUGCUACACAAUCAGCACUAUUAUAAAACUGAAGUUAAGUCUUCCAUUUAAAUGUUCAUCUUCAGCCACACCUUAUGAAAGCAUUUCUUAAUUGAAGAUUAUCAAGCAACCUGCUCGAUGAGAGGGAUGUAUUAUAGAAUCUAGCUACAGGAGAUUGGUGGGAUGCAUAAGGUGAAGGAAUUGAUGAAAUAUAGUGUUUUCUCAGAUGCUGGAUUAUUUGUGGAAGAGAUUUGAAAUAAGAAAUCAGCUCUAUUACUUUCAGAAGUGUAGUACAGUAUGCUUCUUCAGUCUUAACCUAGUCAUAUCUCUGAGUAGGACUAGUGGAAUUUUUCUACGCUGAUCACAGAGGAAGCUGUCAAGAAGAAUGGUAAUCUAGGAACUGUGUUGCUGACAAUCUUAGAAAGCAGCUUCAUUCAGAUUUGCAAAGCAUUUCGUUUAGUAUUGUCAUUCCCACUAUUUCACAAAAAAAGAAAAGGAAAGGAAAAGAAACCUUGUAAGGUCUUUGACUCAUUCAUUCAUUUUUACCAUCAAAGAUAAGCUACCUCUACCAUCAAAAGGCAUUGCCUGCAAGAUCUUUGACUCUUAAGCAUGAUCUCGUGCCUGAAAGAUGGAACAUGUGGCUGUGGAUGCAUAUUUUCUAGAACACCUAUAUUCAUGAGAGGGCUAUUUUAUUUUAUUUUAAUUAUUUUACAGAUGAUGUUUAAGAACACAGCCUAUACACAAGUGUUUCAUGCUGGUUCUCAACGUGGUUUAUAGCUUUCUCUUUGUAUCCUGUUGCAAAUAACAGGAACGAAUGCCAGAGAAAAUAUGUACUGAUCUUUGUUUGUCAAAUAGGGACUUUGAGUAUGUUGACAAUGACAGAAUACCUUGAGAAAAUACCUCUUCCUAAAUUUCUUAGGUUACACA